rnacentral:ribozyme from 1 species
GAAAGAUAAAUGCACUCGUCCAAACCAGAUCAAACCCAACAAGAAACGAUAUGGAAUAAGCCUCAAUCAACUCGAACGGUAUCGUAUUCCAAGUGUCGACCUUUUCUUUUUUUUUUUUUUUUUUUU